CACGUAGGGCGCAAGCGUUGUCCGGAAUUAUUGGGCGUAAAGAGCUCGUAGGCGGUUUGUCGCGUCGGGAGUGAAAACACGGGGCUUAACCCCGUGCCUGCUUCCGAUACGGGCAGACUAGAGGUAUGCAGGGGAGAACGGAAUUCCUGGUGUAGCGGUGAAAUGCGCAGAUAUCAGGAGGAACACCGGUGGCGAAGGCGGUUCUCUGGGCAUUACCUGACGCUGAGGAGCGAAAGUGUGGGGAGCGAACAGG
rnacentral:rRNA from 1 species